AACGAACGCUGGCGGCGUGCCUAAUACAUGCAAGUCGAGCGGACCAAGAAGAGCUUGCUCUUUGAGGUUAGCGGCGGACGGGUGAGUAACACGUGGGCAACCUGCCUGUAAGCUUGGGAUAACUCCGGGAAACCGGUGCUAAUACCGAAUACAACAAAGGACUGCAUGGUCCUUUGUGAAAAGACCUUGUGUCACUUACAGAUGGGCCCGCGGCGCAUUAGCUUGUUGGUGGGGUAACGGCCUACCAAGGCGACGAUGCGUAGCCGACCUGAGAGGGUGAUCGGCCACACUGGGACUGAGACACGGCCCAGACUCCUACGGGAGGCAGCAGUAGGGAAUCUUCCGCAAUGGACGAAAGUCUGACGGAGCAACGCCGCGUGAGCGAUGAAGGUUUUCGGAUCGUAAAGCUCUGUUGUUAGGGAGGAACCGCCGGGAUCACCUCCCGGUCUGACGGUACCUAACGAGAAAGCCCCGGCUAACUACGUGCCAGCCGCCGCGGUAA
rnacentral:rRNA from 1 species